rnacentral:rRNA from 1 species
UCAGCUCGGUACUCGCGAAUGCUCUAGAUUAGAGUUUGAUCAUGGCUCAGAUUGAACGCUGGCGGCAGGCCUAACACAUGCAAGUCGAGCGGAUGAUGGGAGCUUGCUCCCGGAUUCAGCGGCGGACGGGUGAGUAAUGCCUAGGAAUCUGCCUGGUAGUGGGGGACAACGUAUUAUCACUCGGACCAAANUGUGGGGAAAAACCCGCNCCUUUAAUUAAACCCCCCUGGCACAAUUNAAACCCGGGUUACCUUUAAACCCGUAGGGGAUAGGAANAAACAGGGCCAGAGGUGUGGGUGGCNUGGGAAAACACCCGCCCGAGUUAUAUAUAUACCCUGGGAUUGGAUGAGGUAUGUCCAGCCCUGUUUUAAUUANGUGAGCCCUCUGGGUGACCACGUUUUUAAAAAAAGUUNUCCCAGAAAAAGGCGCGACACAACAAUUUUGUGGGCAGCAAAGACGGGGNCGCCCCNUCCCCGGUUUUUUUACAAGAGGGGGGUGUCGGGAGGCGUUUACACCCCCCUCGCGGGUACGAGGUCGCGCAAAAAGAUGUUUUAUCAUUUUCACACACANGGNGGGCGACNCCACCGUUUUUCUAACANACGCGCGGCGCAGGUUUUU